UACGUAGGGUGCAAGCGUUGUCCGGAAUUAUUGGGCGUAAAGAGCUCGUAGGCGGUCUGUCGCGUCGGCUGUGAAAACUCGGGGCUCAACCCCGAGCCUGCAGUCGAUACGGGCAGACUAGAGUCCGGCAGGGGAGACUGGAAUUCCUGGUGUAGCGGUGAAAUGCGCAGAUAUCAGGAGGAACACCGAUGGCGAAGGCAGGUCUCUGGGCCACUACUGACGCUGAGAAGCGAAAGCAUGGGGAGCGAACAGG
rnacentral:rRNA from 1 species